GGGGAUAUAUUUCAAUUGGUAGAAUAUAUGCUUUGCAAGCAUAAGGUUACGGGUUCGAGUCCCGUUAUCUCCA
rnacentral:tRNA from 1 species